AUUGAACGCUGGCGGCAUGCUUUACACAUGCAAGUCGAACGGCAGCGCGGGCUUCGGCCUGGCGGCGAGUUGCGAACGGGUGAGUGAUGCAUCGGAACAUGCCCAGCAGUUGGGGAUAGCCCGGCGAAAGCCGGAUUAAUACCCCAUACGCCCAGAGGGUGAACGCGGGGGACCGAAAGGCCUCGCGAUCUUGGAGCGGCCGAUGUCGGAUUAGCUAGUUGGUGGGGUAAAGGCUUACCAAGGCGACGAUCCGUAGCUGGUCUGAGAGGACGACCAGCCACACUGGGACUGAGACACGGCCCAGACUCCUACGGGAGGCAGCAGUGGGGAAUUUUGGACAAUGGGGGCAACCCUGAUCCAGCCAUGCCGCGUGCGGGAAGAAGGCCUUCGGGUUGUAAACCGCUUUUGUUCGGGAAGAAAUCCUCUGGGCUAAUACCCCGGGGGGAUGACGGUACCGGAAGAAUAAGCACCGGCUAACUACGUG
rnacentral:rRNA from 1 species